UUAGUCUGGACACUUGAGGAAAGUCAUGAUAUGAUUUUAGUACUGUAUGUUGUGAGGCUGAAACAUCUGUGAAAGUGUAAAUAAAUGCCAUUUAAAUACACAAACCCUUUGAAUUCACUACUUUCUGUUUACCAGCACUUCUUUGUUCACAUAAAUACAGGUACUGGGAGAGAAAAAACCCUGAUUUACGGUUCAGUGCAAAAGAGAAGUUUUACAGUAAUGCAGUUCAUUGUGUCCUGUUGUUAUUAGAUCAUGAUCUGAAGACUGAUACACAUAUGAUACCAAACCAUUAAAGAGAGAUUUUUCCACUGGUUUGUUUCAUUAAAGGAGAACAGCAAUGGUGCUUCUGUACCUUUCAGCUUUUCUUUGUCAUAUUGUGGCAUUGUCUUGUAUAUCCUCAGCAGAGAGACAUUUGGUUUGCUCCUCAGAAAGUGUUAGUCUUUGGUACAGCUACGAUGGGCCGUUGUAUCUCCUGUCAGUGACUGGAUCUGCUCUGUAGGAAUGACUUUGUACAAUUUAACAUAUACAGUAAUUCCAAUGUUCAGCACCACACGUAUGGGGUGUCAUGCUCUCCUUUACUACGAAGGUCAGCUGUGGUUUGAUCACGUUCAGCCAGAAGUUUCUUGUGAACAUUUGAAAAUAUGUGACAUCAUCAAAGGAGAAACACUUCAUGACACAAUUGCAAUUUAUUUGAGAAGAUUUUAUCCACCUG